GUGAACGCUGGCGGUAGGCCUAACACAUGCAAGUCGAACGGCAGCACAGUAAGAGCUUGCUCUUACGGGUGGCGAGUGGCGGACGGGUGAGGAAUACAUCGGAAUCUACUUUUUCGUGGGGGAUAACGUAGGGAAACUUACGCUAAUACCGCAUACGACCUACGGGUGAAAGCAGGGGAUCUUCGGACCUUGCGCGAUUGAAUGAGCCGAUGUCGGAUUAGCUAGUUGGCGGGGUAAAGGCCCACCAAGGCGACGAUCCGUAGCUGGUCUGAGAGGAUGAUCAGCCACACUGGAACUGAGACACGGUCCAGACUCCUACGGGAGGCAGCAGUGGGGAAUAUUGGACAAUGGGCGCAAGCCUGAUCCAGCCAUACCGCGUGGGUGAAGAAGGCCUUCGGGUUGUAAAGCCCUUUUGUUGGGAAAGAAAAGCAGCAGGUUAAUACCCCGCUGUUCUGACGGUACCCAAAGAUUAAGCACCGGCUAACUUCGU
rnacentral:rRNA from 1 species